rnacentral:rRNA from 1 species
AUUGAACGCUGGCGGCAGGCUUAACACAUGCAAGUCGAGCGGGGUGAUGGUGCUUGCACUAUCACUUAGCGGCGGACGGGUGAGUAAUGCUUAGGAAUCUGCCUAUUAGUGGGGGACAACAUCUCGAAAGGGAUGCUAAUACCGCAUACGUCCUACGGGAGAAAGCAGGGGAUCACUUGUGACCUUGCGCUAAUAGAUGAGCCUAAGUCGGAUUAGCUAGUUGGUGGGGUAAAGGCCUACCAAGGCGACGAUCUGUAGCGGGUCUGAGAGGAUGAUCCGCCACACUGGGGAUGGGACACGGCCCAGACUCCUACGGGAGGCAGCAGUGGAGAAUAUUGGACAAUGGGGGGAACCCUGAUCCAGCCAUGCCGCGUGUGUGAAGAAGGCCUUAUGGUUGUAAAGCACUUUAAGCGAGGAGGAGGUUCUUUUGGUUAAUACCCAAGAUGAGUGGACGUUACUCGCAGAAUAAGCACCGGCUAACUCUGUGCCAGCAGCCGCAGUAA